GCGUCGGUAGUGUAAUGGGUCAGCAUGGCAUACCGGUUAUUUGUAAAUGUGGGUUCGAGUCUCACCUGUGGUU
rnacentral:tRNA from 1 species